rnacentral:rRNA from 1 species
GAUGAACGCUGGCGGCGUGCCUAAUACAUGCAAGUCGAGCGAAUGGAUUAAGAGCUUGCUCUUAUGAAGUUAGCGGCGGACGGGUGAGUAACACGUGGGUAACCUGCCCAUAAGACUGGGAUAACUCCGGGAAACCGGGGCUAAUACCGGAUAACAUUUUGAACCGCAUGGUUCGAAAUUGAAAGGCGGCUUCGGCUGUCACUUAUGGAUGGACCCACGUCGCAUUAGCUAGUUGGUGAGGUAACGGCUCACCAAGGCAACGAUGCGUAGCCGACCUGGGAGGGUGAUCGGCCACACUGGGACUGGAACACGGCCCAGACUCCGACGGGAGGCAGCAGUAGGGAAUCUUCCGCAAUGGACGAAAGUCUGACGGAGCAACGCCGCGUGAGUGAUGAAGGCUUUCGGGUCGUAAAACUCUGUUGUUAGGGAGGAACAAGUGCUAGUUGAAUAAGCUGGCACCUUGACGGUACCUAACCAGAAAGCCACGGCUAACUACGUGCCAGCCGCCGCCGUAA